rnacentral:lncRNA from 9 species
AUGGCUUUCUGGCUCCACCCGGACACCCCAGCCUGCCCUCCAACCCCGCCUCUGCCCCGGGCCAGCAGCUUCUCGGCGCCUCUGUCUGAUGAAUGGUUCCCUGUCCGUCUUCUCCGCCUGUUCCCGGAAGUGCCCGUUGAAGAGAGUCUGCGCUUGUCUGGGUGGCGGGAAUGUGAGGUGAGCACUACAGCUCGGAGGGCGAGUCAGGCAUCUGGUGUCUGUUAGGUGGCUGCGUUGCAUCAUCUGCCUGAUUGCUGGGGAACAUCUCCCAGCAUUCGCCCGACUGGAGAGAAGACUGUGGGCACAAAAUGGCCUCAUCCGGUUUACAUCUUCAUUACUGCGCUUCUCACAUACCUGCUUACAUCUGGAAAAAAUCUCCAGGUAAACCUCUUGGGUGCUUUUUCUAAAGAGUAACUGUAAUUAUUAGGGCUAUACCCAAAUUCAGCUUAGAAUAGGUAUGUGGCUGAACUUCAGCCAAAAUCCUGUGCCUGUUGAAAAGAAAUUUUCUUUUUUUACAUCCAAUUACAUAGGAGGGGCCUUUUCCCCACACAUGGCCAGUGGGGUUCCUGGUUCUCUACACCCAAGGCUUCUAUUUAUGCCCUUAGGGAAAAGGAGAGAUUUUUAGGGAAAAAACAUAAAGAUCUCCUCAACCACCCCCCCCCCACACACACACACACACUGACUUUUUUUCUUAGUACUGAAUCUCAGAAUUCUAGUAUGUGCUGCAGGUCAUGUCAAAAUUUGACAGAUGCGAAGACUUCCCCACUAGGUACUAUCACAAAUUUUAUCUUACCAAGUAAUAGCCUUAAAAAAAACUUUUCUGUUUUAUUAUUUCCUGCUCGUCCGCCUUGUACAGAACUCAUCCACUCAACACACACUGACGGAGCACUUGCUUAGGUGCCAAGCCCUGUGCCAGGCACAGGAAGCUUAAAACCCAGGUUUGCUGCUUGCAGUUAGUUGGAAAAACAGACAUGCGGCAAAGUACACAUCACACUGGAAUGUUGCAUAAGGUUACACGAAAGCGUGAACAAAACAUUGUGCGCACGCAGUUGUGAGAAGAAUGAUUUGUGCCACAGGAAGGGGAUGUAGAAGAGAGGGUGGCAUUUAAGGACAGCUUCAUUUAGAGAUGAAACAUAAGCUGCGUUUUGAAAAGUGUGUGGCCUUUCACAUCGGUAUGAAAAAAACAAGGUCAUCCAGAGAAACAAGAGGGAACAAGGCAGUUGGCGAGGGACUUUAGGGGGCUCUGACUUUUUCAUAUAUGCUUCUGCUGUUUUUGAUAAGUAGUGGUUUUCCAAGAUCGUCUUGUGAAACGAUGCUUUUUCAUUUGCCUCCCCUUUCUUUUUAAAAAUAUUUAUCUUCAGUAAAAAUUCACAUGUACAAAUGCUUCUGUGUGAUAUAUAAUG